rnacentral:rRNA from 1 species
CCUACGGGAGGCAGCAGUAAGGAAUAUCGGUCAAUGGGCGCAAGCCUGAACCAGCCAUGCCGCGUGCAGGAAGACGGCCCUAUGGGUUGUAAACUGCUUUUGUCAGGGAAUAAACCUAUCUACGUGUAGAUAGCUGAAGGUACCUGAAGAAUAAGCAUCGGCUAACUCCGUGCCAGCAGCCGCGGUAAUACGGAGGAUGCAAGCGUUAUCCGGAUUCAUUGGGUUUAAAGGGUGCGCAGGCGGAGUGUUAAGUCAGUGGUGAAAUCUCUCGGCUCAACCGAGAAACUGCCAUUGAUACUGACAUUCUUGAGUAUUGUUGAGGUAGGCGGAAUGUGUCAUGUAGCGGUGAAAUGCUUAGAUAUGACACAGAACACCGAUCGCGAAGGCAGCUUACCAAGCAAUAACUGACGCUCAUGCACGAAAGCGUGGGGAUCAAACAGGAUUAGAUACCCUGGUAGUCCACGCCGUAAACGAUGAUCACUCGAUGUUGGCGAUACACAGUCAGCGUCUGAGCGAAAGCAAUAAGUAAAUCCACCUGGGGAGUACGAUCGCAAGAUUGAAACUCAAAGGAAUUGACGG